UGGGGAAUAUUGGACAAUGGGCGCAAGCCUGAUCCAGCCAUGCCGCGUGAGUGAUGAAGGCCCUAGGGUUGUAAAGCUCUUUCACCGGUGAAGAUAAUGACGGUAACCGGAGAAGAAGCCCCGGCUAACUUCGUGCCAGCAGCCGCGGUAAUACGAAGGGGGCUAGCGUUGUUCGGAUUUACUGGGCGUAAAGCGCACGUAGGAGGACUAUUAAGUCAGGGGUGAAAUCCCGGGGCUCAACCCCGGAACUGCCUUUGAUACUGGUAGUCUUGAGUUCGAGAGAGGUGAGUGGAAUUCCGAGUGUAGAGGUGAAAUUCGUAGCUAUUCGGAGGAACACCAGUGGCGAAGGCGGCUCACUGGCUCGAUACUGACGCUGAGGUGCGAAAGCGUGGGGAGCAAACAGG
rnacentral:rRNA from 1 species